AAACUUUGUUGAACAAAGGGCGGUGUUGAGGCAGAACCUGAUUUGCAUAAACCCCAAUAUAACAGCGUGGCCCCAAGGCAAUAGACGUCAGUCUUCUGUAGCGAGGGUUGCAACUGAGUUACCAGCUUGUUUUUAAACGAAGGAGCUAUUGUCGUUUGGUCGCCAGCCUUCCGAGAUGGCAGACGAGGAAAGCAAGCCCGCAGUCGGUAGCGAUCUGCAAAAGGAGAUCACUGGCUUCAAGAAGGAAAAACUUCAACAAACUGAGACCAAGGAAAGCAAAAUCUUGCCUGAUGCAGCCACAAUCGAAGCAGAAAAGAAAGCAGCGAAAGAAGCACCGGGACAAUGAGAGUAGCUUUCUAAUUUGUGCUGUACAUUCCACAAGCAUUGCCUUCUAGCUAUAUACCUUUGUAAAAGGGAAAAAAAAAUCCUUUUGGAUGCAGUGUGAUGGGAUUAAGUGAACUGGCUGGCUCCUUCCCCAUUCCACUUCCCCUUUCCUUGUUUCUUCCCUGCCCUCAUUUUGUUUCUUCCUGGCCUUGUUUUUUUUGGGUAAAAAAAACACCAUUUGGAACUACUGACCAUCUGACUGGCUUGUCUUCUGAUGGCACUAAAGAGCUUGCGUUAAUCUCUCCCUUUUCCGAUUUAAACUUUGAAAUUUCAACUUUAUUCAGUUGAAUCUGUACAGCAAUAGUUGUAAUUACGGCUACUUCGAAGAGCACCAGACGAAAUCCGGCCCCGUCUAAUGGGAAAUCUAAAAAGGCUGACGAGUACGCGGAAGAAACCCCCUUGGGUCAAGAGAUUAGAAUCUCGAAUCAGCGGUAUCUGCACUGAAAUAACGCAAUGAAAAGGGAAAUUGAAGAAAAAAUUGACUCUUUGAGCCUCGAUCUUAAAGAAGUUAAUCGAAAAGCGGCACAUCUCCCUUCUCGUUUAGAUAAGGCUUAGCAACUAAUCGUGGAUUUGGAAACUCAAUCACGUCUGAAUAAUAUUCGAAUUGUUGGGUUAAAAGAGAAAUCAGAAUCUGCCGACACACUGGAUUAUUUUGCUAAAAUGUUUCAGUCUUUAUUUCCGGAGGUUUGUUCGCAACUCCGGGAGAUUGAAUCGGCUCGUAGAACCGGUGCUUUAAAAACUUUGGAUGAAGGUAAAAACAGGCAUAUUGUUGUGUGUUUUCUCCAUUUUAGAGACAAAGAUUGCAUAGUAAGCUUGCAAGAAAACAAAGAUUAUUUUCACUUCAAGGCUCAGAAGUCCGUUUUUUUGAAGAUUUUCCAUGCGAAUUUGUUAAACGCGCUGCUUUUGGUCCUUCUAUGACACUAGUGUAUCAAAAGAAACUUUCCAUUAUUACAAUAUUCAGCAAAAUUAAAGCUCUUUAAUAAAAAUUCUGGAGUUCUUAUUUUCUAUAA